rnacentral:pre_miRNA from 1 species
AAUGGAUCAUUGCUGGGUCAUAUGGCAAUCCUAUGUUUGACUUUUAAAGAAAUUGCCAAACUUCUUUUCCAAGUGGUUGUGCCAUUUUACAUUCCCACCAGCAGU